UCAAGUUGCUAUAGCUCCUAGGCCUUCAUCUUAUUGUGUGGUAUGAAUCGUCAAGUCUAUUAGAUUUGUUGUGGGACUGGGUUUGUAGUCUCUUCUAUAAUUUGGGCUUGUUCUAGUGCUUUUUGAUAGUCAUUAAUCUUUAGAACUGAGAUUUUAUCCUAGAUCUCCUUACACAGGCCUAUCUAAAAAUUCCAAGCUCUUAGGCUUCCAUUUGCUGCUACGUUGAGCGCGAACCAAGACAACUCUAUGACCUUUUUUAACAUAUUUUGCCACU
rnacentral:lncRNA from 1 species